UAAGGAAUAUUGGUCAAUGGACGCAAGUCUGAACCAGCCAUGCCGCGUGGAGGAUGAAGGCCCUCUGGGUUGUAAACUUCUUUUAUUGGGGAAGAAACCGGACCUUUCUAGGACCGUUGACGGUACCCAUUGAAUAAGCACCGGCUAACUCCGUGCCAGCAGCCGCGGUAAUACGGAGGGUGCAAGCGUUAUCCGGAUUCACUGGGUUUAAAGGGUGCGUAGGUGGGCAGGUAAGUCAGUGGUGAAAUCUCCAAGCUUAACUUGGAAACUGCCGUUGAUACUAUCUGUCUUGAAUAUAGUGGAGGUGAGCGGAAUAUGUCAUGUAGCGGUGAAAUGCUUAGAUAUGACAUAGAACAUCGAUUGCGAAGGCAGCUCGCUACACUAUCAUUGACACUGAGGCACGAAAGCGUGGGGAUCAAAC
rnacentral:rRNA from 1 species